CGGUUCAUCCUGCCGGACCUGACUGCUAUCGGAUGAUACUAAGCCAUGCGAGUCUUUGUAGUAUACAAGGCAUACGGCUCAGUAACACGUAGUCAACCUACCCUAUGGACGAGAAUAAUCUCGGGAAACUGAGCAUAAUUCUUGAUAGAUCAUAAUGCCUGGAAUGGUUUAUGGUUAAAAUGAUUCGUCGCCAUAGGAUGGGACUGCGGCCUAUCAGCUUGUUGGUGAGGUAAUGGCCCACCAAGGCGAUUACAGGUACGGGCUCUGAGAGGAGAAGCCCGGAGAUGGGUACUGAGACACGGACCCAGGCCCUAUGGGGCGCAGCAGGCGAGAAAACUUUGCAAUGUGCGAAAGCACGACAAGGUUAAUCCGAGUGAUUUCUGCUAAAGAAAUCUUUUGCCAGUCAUAAAACCACUGGUGAAUAAGGGGUGGGCAAGUUCUGGUGUCAGCCGCCGCGGUAAAACCAGCACCUCAAGUGGUCAGGAUGAUUAUUGGGCCUAAAGCAUCCGUAGCCGGCUUUGUUAGUUUUCGGUUAAAUCCAUGUGCUCAACGCAUGGGCUGCCGAAAAUACUGCAUAGCUAGGGAGUGGGAGAGGUAGACGGUACUCAGUAGGAAGGGGUAAAAUCCUUUGAUCUAUUGAUGACCACCUGUGGCGAAGGCGGUCUACCAGAACACGUUCGACGGUGAGGGAUGAAAGCUGGGGGAGCAAACCGGAUUAGAUACCCGGGUAGUCCCGGCUGUAAACGAUGCAGACUCGAUGAUGCAUUGGCAUAAUAGCCAGUGCAGUGUCGCAGGGAAGCCGUUAAGUCUGCCGCCUGGGAAGUACGUACGCAAGUAUGAAACUUAAGGAAUUGGCGGGGAGCACCACAAGGGUGAAGCCUGCGGUUCAUUGGAGUCACCGCCG
rnacentral:rRNA from 1 species